AUUCGGCGAUGAGCUAUAUAACUUGAAGACGACGUAUUGAUACUGAUUCAUUAAGAGCGGGCUAUAAGAGUUACCCGCUAAAAACGAAGCGGCGGUAUCGGCAAUAACUGAUCGUAAGCAAAUGAAUCUGUGAUGCUAAUGACACAAGUGCGCCUUAGGCAGUUAGGAAAGAAGCGGUCUGUAGACCGGUCCGUGUCACAUUGGUAAAUAGGUAACCGAUCAGCUGAUGAUGACGCAAACGACAGUGGCAGUAGCAAAAUGGAGCGAUAUCGCGUUCAAGCAUACCUUGUUCUACUCGGAACUUAUUAACAUGGAGCGGACGAACUGCUCACGAGUUCUACAAGCUAGGCUUAUAUCGAACGCUACUAUUGGUCCUGCUGAUAUAAUACAGCAUAUUCGCUAUAAUGAUGGGACCUUCAAGGGGUGGAAUUAUAUACCGUUCUAUUUUCGUCUCCAAAAGCUCUACGAGUGGCUGUCUUGUGUGAAGUCACAGUUAAUGUAGAUUUGUUUGCUGAGUAGCGAAUCAUAAUUGUUUCGGUGUAAAAGCUGUGGCUACAGAUGAAGGCGGUCGCCUCUUGAUGAAGUCGUAGCAAAAAUAGCCUUUUUCCUGACAGCCAUGCCGAGCUAGGUCGAUUUAGAUUCUGGAUUGGAUUCUGGAUAGUUUCUUCAAAAACAGAGACAAAAAUGAAACCGAUCACUUGAACCAGGCCCAAAUCACUGGGUUUGUCAUGUGCAGACUCUGAGACCGCUUACAUGCUUGUACUUCAUCGUUCUUGAUGACUCUAAAUUGUUUACUUUCGAAAUUAACGUUUUAUUAUGUAGCUGGCUAAAAAUUACUAGCAGUGAAUUAGAUCAAAUACGCCAAUAUUAGUUUCUGCGAUAAUAAACUAAAAU